UAAGACGAACCGUGCGAACGUUAUUCGGAAUCACUGGGCUUAAAGCGCGUGUAGGCGGGUCGGCACGUCGGUCGCUGAAAUCCCCCGGCUCAACCGGGGAAGGGGCGCCGAUACGGCCGGCCUCGAGGGGAGUAGGGGGACCUGGAACUUCCGGUGGAGCGGUGAAAUGCGUUGAGAUCGGAAGGAACGCCCGUGGCGAAAGCGAGGUCCUGGGCUCUUACUGACGCUGAGACGCGAAAGCUAGGGGAGCAAACGGGAUUAGAUACCCCGGUAGUCCUAGCCGUAAACGAUGGGCACUGGGUAGGAGACUCGCCGAUGGGUUUCCUGCCGCAGGGAAACCGUGAAGUGCCCCGCCUGGGGAGUAUGGUCGCAAGGCUG
rnacentral:rRNA from 1 species